UCUGAAUCCGGGUUAUUGGAUGGCUCACCGCGUGCACGUGGUCAAAUCCUUUUAGGCGGCAACGAACUGGCAAAAUAGUUCCCGUGGAAGACGCCGUCAGCCUAACCAUGCACACUUUCUUCAAUUUAAUUUUGACACGCUCGAUUGUGCCAAAAUUUGCAAUCGUGUCCCUCGGGUUCAACGUACUGAAGCAGUCGGCACUCGCUAGGGUCAUUAUCGAAAAUUUAGUUGAAGUGCAGGUCCUCAAACGAGAUACAGCAACUAGUCGGACCGCUGCACAGUUAACGCCGUCAGUUGGGUCGGUUUCGAGUUUCCUCGUUUCCUUCAGGAGCCGAAGCUCUCCGUAGACUAUAAAUAGCACCGAGUCGUUCGUCCAUUAGAAGGGUAAACAAGAAAACAGAUCGAGACAAAUAAGGGAAAGGAGAGAACAAACGAACCAAAAAUAAGGCACGGAAGUUUCGUGGCUCCAAGAAGCCCGGCAUUCUCCACUUGUCUCGGGCUCCCCGCAUUCCAUUCUCCUCCUCCCCUCCCCCUCCUCUCAAUCUCCUCUUUUCGGUCUCUAAUCUUGGCAGUCAAAGAGGGUGAUCUUUUCUUUUCUUGGUUUUAUAUCGCGAGCAUUGUUCUUGAUCCUUCUCUGGAUCUUUGAGUUAAUCAAAGAUCCUAUCUGUUCCACGCCUUAGUUCCUUUUAGAAAGCCUUCUGUUGGCAGUUCGAAGGGUCAAAAAUUUCAAAGCAAUCUGCAAAGAAGGAGCAAAAGAUUCUGAUUUCCAUGUAAAAUUGCUAGCGAAAUUGCUAACAUUGGUGCAAAAAUGAUCGCCCCUGACAUUUCUUUGAGAUUUCUUGCUUCUUUAGAAAGAUCGCUCAUCUUCUUGAACACCAUUAUCCAUAGGUUUGCCUCGCGGUGAAAUUAGUUGUCGGAAUAAAAAAUGCCUCCUGGCGAAGAUAAUGCGAACCUUGAUGCCGACAUGGCUAAAAAGCGAUCGGAAGUAAUAGAGUGGCUCAACGGCCUGUUCCCAGACUUUAGCAUGGCUCCGGAUGCAUCAGAGGAGGAAUUGAGGGCAGCUCUGUUUGAUGGUGCUGUGUUUUGUGCUAUUAUAAGGAGACUCAGUCCUGGCAGCGCAGAGGAAGUUAAGAGUGGUGGUUGUUCUCCAUCGAGGAGACGCUUGGGAAAUAUAAAGAAGUUUAUUUCAGUUGUAGAGCAUAUGGGGUUGCCCACUUUCAAAGUGUCAGACCUAGAACAGGGACGUAUCUCUGCAGUAGUAGUGUGCCUUUUGUGCCUUAGGGAUCAUUUUAAAUCUGUUCUUGGUGAAGAUAGAGAUACAAAUGCGCCAGCCAAGUGGGUAAUCGAAGCAAAGAAGAAGUUGGAGGCUAUAGAUGUUUUGCAGGGGGAUAGCACUCUAAGUGGGCAACAGUCUCCAGUUUUAGGAGAGGAAAGGAGACCGAGCCUCAUGGAAGCAAAGCUUCAGCGAGUUUUAAGAAGUCCUGUUAUGUCUGAGCCAUCGUCUGCUGUGGCACAUAAUGCUGGACACAAGUUUCAUGAAGUUUUCCAGUUAAAGCAGGGGCGUUAUUCUGAUCUUCCUCCUGCUAAGAUUUCAGAAAUGAUGAAAUCAAACAGUUUAGAUAAUGCCCCAACCCAGUCACUUUUGAGUGUUGUGAAUGGGAUUCUUGAUGAAAGCAUUGAGAGAAAGAAUGGGGAAAUACCUCAGCGUGUAGCAUGCUUGUUGAGAAAAGUGGUGCAAGAGAUUGAACGACGUAUUUCAACUCAGGCAGAGCAUAUUCGAAAUCAAAAUAAUCUUAUCAAAGCACGUGAAGAGAAGUAUCAAUCAAGAAUCAAAUUGCUUGAGACACUAGCAACUGGGACAAAUGAAGAAACCCAGAUGGAGAAAAGCAGAACUGAAGAAAGAAAGAAAGUCAGUGAGGAAGAUGUGGUUAGGUUGAUGAAGGAGAAGGAGGAUAGUGAUAAUAUAGUUUCAAAACUUAAGGAGGACUUGAAAACAACAAAAAGGUCAUAUGAACAACACUGUCAGCAACAGGAAACUAAGGCUAAGCAAACUCAAGAGGAAUUAGAGCGGAGAGUAAAGGAGGUUGAAUUUCUUUUAGCAGAGUCAAGGAAGAGGACAAAAGAACUUGAGGCAUUUUCAGCAUCAAAAUCUCAAAACUGGAACCAGAAGGCACAUGUUGUCCACAAUUUCAUAGGUUUACAACUGCUGUCAGUGCAGGAGCUGAGGAUGUCUUCUGAUUCCAUCAAGAAUGAAGUCACAAGUACUCAAAAGAGAUGGUCCGAAGAAUUUACUACAUUUGCUCAGAAGCUGAAAGUAUUAACAGAUGCUGUCAAAAAUUAUCAUACAGUUCUUGCAGAAAACAGGAAAUUGUACAAUGAGGUUCAGGAAUUAAAAGGCAACAUCAGAGUUUAUUGUCGGAUAAGGCCAUUUCUUCCUGGAGAAAACCGAAAGUCAAAUACGAUAAAUUAUAUUGGUGAGGAUGGUGAACUAGUUCUUGUAAACCCUUCCAAACCGGGAAAAGAUGGACAAAAGAUGUUCAAAUUUAACAAGGUUUAUGGUCCAGCUGCUUCUCAAGAGGAAGUCUUCUUAGAUACCCAGCCUUUAAUACGGUCAGUUCUUGAUGGCUACAAUGUAUGCAUCUUUGCAUAUGGUCAAACUGGAUCAGGGAAAACCUACACAAUGACUGGGCCUGACUCACCGACUGAGGAGGAGUGGGGUGUAAACUAUCGAGCUCUGAAUGACCUUUUUCAUAUUUCUCGAACUAGAAGAGACACUUUCAUGUAUGAAGUUGGUGUUCAGAUGGUUGAAAUAUAUAAUGAGCAAGUCCGUGAUCUCCUCAGCAAUGAUGGUUCCGUAAAAAAGCUUGGGAUUGUAAACACUUCUAAACCGAAUGGACUUGCAGUGCCCGAUGCAAGUAUGCGUCCUGUUCAAUCAACAUCUGAUGUGAUGAAUUUAAUGCAAACAGGACUGACAAAUAGGGCUAUGAGUGCUACUGCUCUCAAUGAAAGAAGCAGUCGGUCACACAGUAUUGUGACAGUUCAUGUUCGAGGAGUGGAUUUAAAAACUGGAGCUACUUUGCGUGGUUCUCUUCAUCUGGUAGAUCUUGCUGGAAGUGAGAGAGUUGAUCGUUCUGAAGUUACUGGAGACAGGCUCAAGGAAGCACAACAUAUCAACAAAUCUUUGUCUGCUCUUGGAGAUGUCAUAUUUGCUCUAUCACAGAAAAGCCCUCAUGUACCAUAUAGAAACAGCAAGCUAACUCAAGUCCUGCAAAGUUCUUUAGGUGGACAUGCAAAGACGCUAAUGUUUGUACAGAUAAAUCCUGAUGCUGGAUCUUAUUCAGAGACUUUAAGUACCUUAAAGUUCGCUGAAAGAGUGUCUGGAGUGGAGUUGGGAGCUGCUCGGAGCCAAAAAGAUGGCAAGGAUGUCAAAGAUUUGAUGGAACAGGUGGCAUCUCUUAAAGAUACCAUAGCAAGGAAAGAUGAAGAAAUUGAACAGUUACAAUUGCUCAGAGAUACAACGAAUCAGUCUCCCAGUGUAAAUAGUGAAAGACAAGGUGGUAACACAUUAAAGCAUUCAUCUUCUGCUCCUGGAAUUUCAUCACGAAGUGGGACUGUGCAACAGGGCUGGAGAUCGUCAGGUGGAAAAGUAGUGAUUUCUAAUAUUAAAACAGCUUCAGAUCCUGAAAAUUAUUCAGACCACAGUGAUAAGCAAUCUGAAUCUGGUUCACAUCAGUCCACAGAUGAUUUGAAGCACCAAAGGGAGGUUUCAGGCCAACAAAAGCUCGCUGAAGGUGACCCAGGUCAGAGUUCUGCAGAUCUUGAGCUUUUGAGCUUUGGUGAUGCCGAGUCAGAGGAACGAUUAAGUGACAUAUCAGAUAGUGGUCUUUCCAUGGGAACAGAAACUGAUGGUUCGAGUAGUGUCAUUGAGUUUACUCUCUUUCCUGAGCAAUGCAAACCAGCAGAGGUCACAAAAGAGAAAACAACGCCAAAAGUUCCAACUCGAAUACCAAAACCACCUCCACAAAAUAUUGGGCAAACAACAUCAACACGAUUAAAACUAAAAGAGACUCCAAAGUCACCAACUCUCUCUGGAUUUGUUCACAAACUUUGCUCCUCUAUUGUUGAAGGCAAAACUCUCAGUCCAGAUCGAUGACUGGCUUAACAAGGAUGAACAAUAUCUUGCUUUACCUGAAUCCUGAAAGAUGGAAGAUUAAAUGGGAGAAAGAAGAUUUUGAUACAGAUGGCUUUGCUGAUUUUGUUCUUUAUUUUGAAGGAGAUAAUCGAUCCUUUGCACCAUCUAGACGGUAUGGAAAAGCCAGGUAUUAAUGAAGUUAUAGAAUGAAAUGAUGGUCUUUCCAGAAAGAAUCUGAUGGAGGUGGGUUCUGAAGUGCUUCCAUUUUUGAUAACUCUCCAAAAAAAUAUUGGUUUUCUACCGGCAAUGUUACGAAAAAAAAUAUAAACCCAAAUUUUUGGACCAUGUCUAAACACUGCUUCCAACUUGUGUUUCCAAGAGGUUUUUCAACGAUCGCAGCAGGAUGUCCUUGUAUCAACUAAUGACUCUAAGGCUGAUUUCAGCUGAAUGCUUGAUAUGAUUACUGUCCUUGUUUUCUUUGUUCAUAUUGAUGAAAGCUUUGUUUGGGGAGUGUUGUUUCAAUGCCCUGUAUAGCUG